GAGGAAGUAAAAGUCGUAACAAGGUUUCCGUAGGUGAACCUGCGGAAGGAUCAUUACCUAGAGUUUGUAGACUUCGGUCUGCUACCUCUUACCCAUGUCUUUUGAGUACCUUCGUUUCCUCGGCGGGUCCGCCCGCCGAUUGGACAACAUUCAAACCCUUUGCAGUUGCAAUCAGCGUCUGAAAAAACAUAAUAGUUACAACUUUCAACAACGGAUCUCUUGGUUCUGGCAUCGAUGAAGAACGCAGCGAAAUGCGAUAAGUAGUGUGAAUUGCAGAAUUCAGUGAAUCAUCGAAUCUUUGAACGCACAUUGCGCCCCUUGGUAUUCCAUGGGGCAUGCCUGUUCGAGCGUCAUUUGUACCUUCAAGCUCUGCUUGGUGUUGGGUGUUUGUCUCGCCUCUGCGUGUAGACUCGCCUUAAAACAAUUGGCAGCCGGCGUAUUGAUUUCGGAGCGCAGUACAUCUCGCGCUUUGCACUCACAACGACGACGUCCAAAAGUACAUUUUUACACUCUUGACCUCGGAUCAGGUAGGGAUACCCGCUGAACUUAAGCAUAUCA
rnacentral:rRNA from 1 species